rnacentral:lncRNA from 1 species
GGAAUUGCCCCACCCAAUAGUCCUCAACAGUCAUUGCUUUGGGCCUCUCAAUCACUGUGGGCACCCAAAGCCCAACUUUCAUUCAUCUGUUCUUCCUAGCCCGAAGGACAUACCGUAAUCUCAAAACGCCAGCCCUCUGGCGACGUAGACACGAUGGCCCCGAGUCAGUUCUGGUCCGCACACGCCCAUCCAUUCCAGAAGACCCGAUCGAGAUCAAAAUACAUUGCUGCAAAAACACCGCCGCACCUGCAGACCAUCUCGCCACCCUUCUGCAGAUCGGAGCUCCAUGCCUCUCGCCGGCCUGCUCGGAGCACAAGACCCGUGCCUCAGCAUGAUCGACUGUACUGCUUUUCCACCCCCUGAGUCCGGCGAGAGUCCAUCAACCAAUUUUCCGACAUCCUAAGCCGCUCUCUAUGUGGCCGGGCCCGACACGGAUCAACAGCAACAUGCAUCCCUACUAUCAUGCACCGGAAGGCCACACCGCCCACCAACAACGAACGCCGGAGUCCGGAACUCGCUCGGGAAUCCAGAAGUUUUCUAUCGAUGUAUCCAAUCCGACAAGGAGCUGAGAUUGGCUUAGUAAACCGAUGAACC